UGCUAAAGCAACUGUACGUGCCUCCAACAGUCUGGCAUCCAGAGGAGGAUACAUACUGCGCACUACAUCAUCCACACGUGGAGAUAUACGACGUGCAACCUUUUAAUAGACAGAAAAUUAUGACACACAAAGAAAAAAUGCAGUAAUCCACGGAGCAUAAUAUACAAGUAAAACAAAGGAUAUGACAGAGGUUUGGACAUAUACUGAUAAAUCAAGACUGUACUGUAAUAUCAGAAGCCCUGGAUGGAGUCCACAAGGCACAACUAUGAUUCAGAAUUAAAAUUAAAGAAAGGAAAGUGCUGCAAACAGGUACUAUGUGAUGCAUCUGUAUAAUUGUACCCACCUCAUAUCUCGACAUUGUUUGUUUAUAAAAUUUCCACUGCCUU